CGGCUGUCCCGGCAUCCCUGCUCUCGGUGUCCCGCACUUCCAAGCCUCCGGGGCGGAGCCUGGCUGGCAUCCUAGUCCUGCCAGCCUUAUCCCGAUGCCUACUGCUGGAGUGCAGUGGGGCGAUCUCGGCUCACUGCAACCUCCGCCUCCCGGGUUCAAGCGAUUCUCCUGCCUCUCAGCCUUCCAAGUAGCUGGAAUUACAGGCGUGCACGCCCGGCCAGCCAUGCAAUAGCCUUUUAACUGGUCUUCUGGCUUCCGUUCCAGGGUCUUGCUCUGUCGCCCAGGCUGGAGUGCAGUGGCGCCAUCAUAGUUCAAGCAGUCCUCUGCCUUAACCUCCCCAGCAGCUGGGAAUACAGGUGCGCGACGUCCUGCUCGACUAAACUUCAAAAUGCUGGAGAAAAGCAACUUUGCUACCCAACACUCGGGAGAAAAAGGCGUAUCAGAUAGAAGCGGGUGAAGAAGCUGAGAAAACAGAAGAGAAGGGUGGCUGCCAGCUCGGGACUCAAAAUGGCCAUCUGGGCGUAGAGACACAGAGACCCUUUGCGCAGACGUGCGCCGAGGGUCUUGCAAAGCUUUCGUUUUCUUUGUGUGCCGACCUGCCCCUAGAAGCGGUUUUCGAUGCUAUUUUAAAUGAUAUUCCUAAAAUUUCCGAAUUGCUUGUUGCUUAUAUAUAGAAAUACACUAGAUCUUUGUAUACUGACUUGGGAUUCAGCUCCAUGCUAAAUUUUGAAUUAAUUCUAAUGGUUUAUUUGUAGUUAGUUAUCGAUUUUCUAUACACAAUCACGCCAUCAGCAAAUAAUGACAGUUUUGCUUCCUUUUCAUCUUUGUAUCUUUUAUUUCUUUUCCUUGCCUUAUUGCAUGCACUGUCUACAGCCUUCAGAACAAUGUUAAGGAGAAGUAGUAAUAGUGUACAUCUUAUUUUGUUCCUGGAGUCAAUAAAAAUAUUUAAUAUUUUACUUUAAAAUUAUUUAAUAUUUUAAUUAAAAUGUUAGCCUAGAUUUUCUUUUUAGGCUAUCCAUUGCCAAAUUAAGAAAGUUUCUUUCUAGUUUUAUUAGCAUUUUUACCAUGAACACAUCUUGACUUUUAUCACUUUUUUUUUGCAUGUAUUGAGAAACCUAUAUUGUUUUUCCCUUUUAUACUGAUAAUGUAUUGAAUUAUACUGAUUGAUUUUUAAUGUUAACCCUACCCAAUUGCUCAGGAUAAACCCCACAUGGCCAUGAUAUAUUUUCUAUAAAUCAUCUAUUUGUUAAAAUUGUGUUUAGAAUUUUUGCAUCCUUGUGUAUGAGAGAUAUUAGUCUGUAGUGUUCCU